rnacentral:rRNA from 1 species
AUUGAACGCUGGCGGCAGGCCUAACACAUGCAAGUCGAGCGGAUGAAGGGAGCUUGCUCCUGGAUUCAGCGGCGGACGGGUGAGUAAUGCCUGGGAAUCUGCCUGGUAGUGGGGGAUAACGUCCGGAAACGGGCGCUAAUACCGCAUACGUCCUGAGGGAGAAAGUGGGGGAUCUUCGGGCCUCACGCUAUCAGAUGAGCCUAGGUCGGAUUAGCUAGUUGGUGGGGUAAAGGCCUACCAAGGCGACGAUCCGUAACUGGUCUGAGAGGAUGAUCAGUCACACUGGAACUGAGACACGGUCCAGACUCCUACGGGAGGCAGCAGUGGGGAAUAUUGGACAAUGGGCGAAAGCCUGAUCCAGCCAUGCCGCGUGUGUGAAGAAGGUCUUCGGAUUGUAAAGCACUUUAAGUUGGGAGGAAGGGCAGUAAGUUAAUACCUCGCUGUUUUGACGUUACCAACAGAAUAAGCACCGGCUAACUUCGUG